rnacentral:rRNA from 1 species
UACGUAGGGUGCAGGCGUUGUCCGGAUUUAUUGGGUUUAAAGGGUGCGUAGGCGGCUUUGUAAGUCAGUGGUGAAAUACUCUAGCUUAACUAGAGGGGUGCCAUUGAUACUGCGGAGCUUGAGUACAGAUGAGGUAGGCGGAAUUGACGGUGUAGCGGUGAAAUGCAUAGAUAUCGUCAAGAACACCGAUAGCGAAGGCAGCUUACUGGGCUGUAACUGACGCUGAUGCACGAAAGUGUGGGGAUCAAACAGG